UAAGCUGUAGCCUAGAGUGGGCAAUGCUUC
rnacentral:piRNA from 1 species